rnacentral:rRNA from 1 species
GGGUCAGUAGGUUGGUCGUGCCACCGGUACGUACUGGUCUCACUGAUUCCUCCUUCCUGAAGAACCGUAAUGCCAUUAAUUUGGUGUUGCGGGGAAACAGGACUGUUACUUUGAAAAGACUAGAGUGUUUAAAGCAAGCUAACGCUUGAAUACAUUAGCAUGGAAUAAUGAAAUAGGACGAUCGAUCCUAUUUUGUUGGUUUCUAGGAUUGACGUA